UUUUGCGAUGUGUUCCUAAUAUGUACUAUAAAUAUAUUGGGAGCAUUUUGCAUGCAUA
rnacentral:pre_miRNA from 1 species